UACGUAGGGUGCAAGCGUUAAUCGGAAUUACUGGGCGUAAAGCGUGCGCAGGCGGUUAUGCAAGACAGAUGUGAAAUCCCCGGGCUUAACCUGGGAACUGCAUUUGUGACUGCAUAGCUGGAGUACGGUAGAGGGGGAUGGAAUUCCGCGUGUAGCAGUGAAAUGCGUAGAUAUGCGGAGGAACACCGAUGGCGAAGGCAGUCCCCUGGACCUGUACUGACGCUCAUGCACGAAAGCGUGGGGGAGCAAACAGG
rnacentral:rRNA from 1 species